rnacentral:rRNA from 1 species
UAGACCAGGCCAGUCCUACGAGCAGACUGAUUGCCAUGAGCGAGCUGAUAGCAGCGACGUCGCUGAAGAUGACGGCUUCGGUGUAGCUCAUCAGCAGGACGAGCGAGGAGUGACGUAACUGCAGAAGGAGCACGACACUACGUGCCAGCAGCCGCGGUAAGACGUAGGAUGCGAGCGUGUCCGGAUUAUUGGGCGUAAAGAGCUCGUAGGCGGCUUGUCGCGUCGACCGUGAAAACUUGGGGCUCAACCCCAAGCCUGCGGUCGAUACGGGCAGGCUAGAGUUCGGUAGGGGAGACUGGAAUUCCUGGUGUAGCGGUGAAAUGCGCAGAUAUCAGGAGGAACACCGGUGGCGAAGGCGGGUCUCUGGGCCGAUACUGACGCUGAGGAGCGAAAGCGUGGGGAGCGAACAGGAUUAGAUACCCUGGUAGUCCACGCUGUAAACGUUGGGCGCUAGGUGUGGGGGGCCUCUCCGGUUCCCUGUGCCGCAGCUAACGCAUUAAGCGCCCCGCCUGGGGAGUACGGCCGCAAGGCUAAAACUCAAAGGAAUUGACGGGGGCCCGCACAAGCGGCGGAGCAUGCGGAUUAAUUCGAUGCAACGCGAAGAACCUUACCUGGGUUUGACAUGGCCGCAAAACCUCCAGAGAUGGGGGGUCCUUCGGGGGCGGUCACAGGUGGUGCAUGGCUGUCGUCAGCUCGUGUCGUGAGAUGUUGGGUUAAGUCCCGCAACGAGCGCAACCCUCGUUCGAUGUUGCCAGCGCGUUAUGGCGGGGACUCAUCGAAGACUGCCGGGGUCAACUCGGAGGAAGGUGGGGAUGACGUCAAGUCAUCAUGCCCCUUAUGUCCAGGGCUUCACGCAUGCUACAAUGGCCGGUACAAUGGGCUGCGAUACCGUGAGGUGGAGCGAAUCCCAAAAAGCCGGUCUCAGUUCGGAUCGGGGUCUGCAACUCGACCCCGUGAAGUCGGAGUCGCUAGUAAUCGCAGAUCAGCAACGCUGCGGUGAAUACGUUCCCGGGCCUUGUACACACCGCCCGUCACGUCACGAAAGUCGGCAACACCCGAAGCCGGUGGCCCAACCCUUGUGGAGGGAGCCGUCGAAGGUGGGGCUGGCGAUUGGGACGAAGUCGAACAGAU